rnacentral:tmRNA from 1 species
GGGGGCGAACAGGUCUCGACGGGCUGACAACGGCGAAAGCUGCGUGCCGUGGUGCGGGAGGCCACGUAAAAACCCGCAUAAUGUAAGUGCCGACGAUCACGUCGAGUACGCUCUCGCUGCUUAAUUAAAAACUAAGCUACGAGAUGGUCCUACCGGGCGCCGAUGACCGGACAGGAUCCUCAACCAUCGGCUGGGCAGUGGAGUGGUCUGGUUACCACUGCUGACACUAGUCAGGCUGGCUUCUGGAAUUGGCUGACGAUUGCCUACCCCAGGAGCGAGAACCGCAUCAACCGUCUACGCACGUAGACGCCUCGCGCGUACCAGUUCGGACCCGGGUUCGAUUCCCGGCGCCUCCACCA